rnacentral:rRNA from 1 species
CUCAAGUGGAGCGAUGAAGGGACGCGGCGUGGUAGGUCAGCCUCUUAACGGAUUGAGGUGCCAAACGCGUAGGACGUUGAAGGGUGUAGGUAAGUCCGCACCCCGAGUCCGAAACGUGAUGGCGGUGCCUUAGAGCCACAAGUGAUUGAGCCAUGCCGCCUAGAAAAGCUUCUAAGCGUUGAUAUUUGAGUGACCGUACCGCAAACCGACACUGGUAGGUGGGUAGAAUAUACCAAGGGGAGCGAGAGAACCCUCGUUAAGGAAUUAGGCAAAUUUCCCCCGUACGUUCGCAAUAAGGGGGGCCUCUGGUGGUGAGCUUAAUCGCAAAGCUGCUGGAGGCCGCAGAGAAAUGGCUCUUCCAACUGUUUAACAAAAACACAGGUCUCUGCUAAGUCGAAAGACGAAGUAUAGGGGCUGACGCCUGCCCAGUGCUGGAAGGUUAAGGGGAGAGGUUAGGCGCAAGCCGAAGCUUUGAGCCGAAGCCCCAGUGAACGGCGGCCGUAACGAUAACGGUCCUAAGGUAGCGAAAUUCCUUGUCGGGUAAGUUCCGACCCGCACGAAUGGCGUAAUGAGAGGAGCACUGUCUCAACGAGGGACUCGGCGAACAUUGAAGGACGUGUGAAGAUACACGUGACCCGCAGCGGGACAAAAAGACCCCGUGAAGCUUUACUACAACUUGCCAUUGAGUUAGGGCUAAACCUGUGUAGUAUAGGUGGGAGGCUUUGAAGCUGGGACGCCAGUCUCGGUGGAGCCACCGUUGAAAUACCACCCUGGUUUAUUCUUGGCUCUAACCUGUCGCCGUUAUCCGGCAUGGGAACAGUGGCUGGUGGGUAGUUUGACUGGGGCGGUCGCCUCCGAAAGCGUAACGGAGGCGCCCAAAGGUUCCCUCAGGCUGAAUGGAAACCAGCCGUUGAGUGUAAAGGCACAAGGGAGCUUGACUGCAAGACCAACAAGUCGCGCAGGGACGAAAGUCGGGCUUAGUGAUCCCACGGUUCAGAGUGGAAUGGCCGUGGCUUACCGGAUAAAAGCUACUCCGGGGAUAACAGGGUAGUCUGGUCCAAGAGUUCAUAUCGACGACCAGGUUCGCCACCUCGAUGUCGGCUCAUCACAUCCUGGGGCUGGAUAAGGUCCCAAGGGUUGGGCUGUUCGCCCAUUAAAGUGGUACGUGAGCUGGGUUCAGACCGUCGUGAGACAGGUCGGUCUCUAUCCGCUGUGGGCGUAAGGGAUUUGAGAGAAGCUGCCCCUAGUACGAGAGGACCGGGGUGGACGGACCUCUAGUGUGCCAGUUGUUCUGCCAAGAGCAUAGCUGGGUAGCUACGUCCGGCAGAGAUAACCGCUGAAAGCAUCUAAGUGGGAAACUCGUCUCAAGAUUAGAUCCCUCAUCCGUAUGGAGUAAGACCGCUAGAAGACUACUAGUUUGAUAGGCGGCAGGUGUAAGCGCAGUAAUGUGUUCAGCUUAGCCGUACUAAUGGUCGAGGGCUUACGUUU